GAUGAAGAACGUAGCAAAAUGCGAUAAGUAAUGUGAAUUGCAGAAUUCAGUGAAUCAUCGAAUCUUUGAACGCACAUUGCGCCCUUUGGUAUUCCUUAGGGCAUGCCUGUUCGAGCGUCAUUUGAAACCUCAAGCUCAGCUUGGUGUUGGGUGUCUGUCCCCGCCUCACCGCGGGGACUCGCCUCAAAAUCAUUGGCGGCCGGUACGUUGGCUUCGAGCGCAGCAGAAACGCGAACUCGAGGCCCGGCGGAUCGGCGACCAGAAGUCACUUCUUCACAGUUUGACCUCGGAUCAGGUAGGGAUACCCGCUGAACUUAAGCAUAUCAAUAAGCGGAGGA
rnacentral:misc_RNA from 1 species